GAGAGCCGGUGUCCCGCGGCUCGUAGGUGUGCAAAACAGGGGCUUCCCUCGGUCGCGGCGCUUAAUGGGCAGAGGAGGGAAACCCUGAAAGACCUGUACGAAUGCGCCAGUGUUUGGGAGUUACUCCCGCGCCCCUCAGCUAAUCCAGCCUGAGGAAAAACCCCUCUGAACGCACAUCCCGUGGAGGCGUUGCUGAGGCGUAACUGCGUACUCAGCCGCGGUGCAACAACUCUCUUCCCUUGGAAAUACAAGGGGAGGGAAAACAUAACUCCGGUCUGUCAGACGGAAUUGGCACAUGACUUGCAUUAGCUCCUUCCUCUGGGUAUCUUGCUGACAGAACCAUGCAAAGGAGCAAUAUCUAAUCUUCAUACAGCUAAAACUGUUCGUGAAGAAGAAAGAUCCUAUUAAACUGGCCCUGUCAUGUACAGUCGGGAUAGGAUGUGUGACCAAGCACUUCUGCCUUGGGACGUCCCCUCCCUCAGAUGCUCACUGCAGGGAACCCGUCUCCUUGCCAAGGAGGCCUCCUGCUCCCGCUCAGCCAUGGGCCUGCUGCUGCAGCAUCAUGCCAACAUGCCUGCCCAGCUUCUGGGAGCACGCCGUUUCCCAGGGCUCCCACCAACCUCUGCUGAAGCUGCCAUCGGCGGUGGCUUCCCAGUCUCUUGGUAGAAGAGAAAUCUUCAUAAGAAAGCCUGUAAGCAGAGGGGCACCUUGGGGAAUGGAAGGUAUUACAGAGGAUAAGUACCCCCUACAUUGCGGACUUUCUGACUUGAGCCAUCCAUCUUCAUCUUCUCUCUGUGUUUCUUUUGCCCAGCAAGCAUCCAACAAAGACCAACAGCUGUUAGUGUCUGGGUCUGGCUUCCAGACAGGGACCCAGUGCUCACAGGUCCCCUGAGAUCCAUCUCCCCUGGUGCUACAAUUUGUUCUUCACCCCAAAGUCCAACACCCAGCAAAGAGACAGUCAUCCAAAAUUGUUUUGUGCCACAAAUAAAUAAAACCACCUUCUCGUAAAUCUGGAUGUCAGUCCUCUCCACAUUGCUGUCA